CUAGGGAGUACAUGUUUGCAUAUUAGGAUCAAGCAUAUAUGAAAAACCACAGAACAAAACUGGUGUUGUUUUGUAGAUUACUUGAGGAGGUCGUCAGUAAGCUUUGUUUACAUGUGGGAUACAUCUCAUUGUCAACGUCAUCAGUCCAUGUUUGAUCAGUAGUAGGCCAGAGGAAGGAAGUUGCGCUGAAGAACAUACCGUGGGGGAAACACCGGCUCAGGGGACACAAGUAACGGAGGGAUAUGAAGCAACUUGAGAGAAUUGGAUACACCUACAGUUCAUCCACUGUGCAUCAGCUGUUGGUGAGCUGGACACUUUCAGUAGAAACUACUGUGCUGUGCUGUACUGACCAGUAAGAGGCAGGUGUCUACCAAGCAGAAGGUUCCGGAACGGC